rnacentral:sRNA from 1 species
CUUUAGCCCCGAUUGCAGCGGUAUACUUUUUUUAUUUUACCCUGUCAGGGUUUUGAACCCUGACAGGGUAAAAUAAAAAAAGAUAUAGCGGAAAGCGGGAAGAUUG